AUGGGAGCCUCAGGGGAUCCCUACAUUUAUUCUUCACCACCUCCUCCGUAUGAGUAUAAGUCUCCACCGCCACCUUCGCCUUCGCCACCACCUCCUUAUGUGUAUAAAUCCCCACCACCUCCGGUGCAUUCUCCUCCACCACCCCCAAUGCAUUCUCCUCCACCACCGUAUGAGUACAAAUCACCACCACCCCCGGUGCACUCACCACCUCCUCCGUAUGAGUAUAAAUCACCACCACCCCCGGUGCAUUCUCCUCCUCCGCCCUAUGAGUACAAGUCACCACCACCUCCGGUGCACUCACCACCUCCUCCAUAUGAGUACAAAUCACCACCACCUCCGGUGCAUUCUCCACCUCCACCAUAUGAGUAUAAAUCACCACCACCACCUUCACCAUCCCCACCACCACCAUAUGUGUACAAGUCUCCACCACCACCCGUCAAAUCCCCACCUCCACCAUACCACUACUCAUCACCACCACCACCCGUAAAAUCCCCACCUCCACCAUACCACUACUCCUCCCCACCACCACCUGUAAAAUCACCUCCUCCACCUUAUCAUUACUCAUCUCCACCACCACCAGUCAAAUCCCCACCACCACCAUACCACUACUCAUCACCUCCACCACCCGUAAAAUCACCACCUCCACCAUACUACUACAAGUCCCCACCACCUCCAGUUAAAUCCCCACCACCACCAUACUACUACCAUUCUCCUCCUCCCCCAGUGAAGUCACCACCUCCACCAUACCACUACAACUCUCCUCCACCACCCAAGCAUUCUCCACCACCACCUUACUACUACAAGUCUCCACCACCCCCCGUCAAGUCACCACCCCCACCAUACUACUAUCACUCUCCACCACCCCCAAUGAAGUCACCACCCCCACCAUACUACUACAGCUCACCACCACCACCCGUCAAGUCCCCACCACCACCAUACUACUACAGUUCACCACCACCACCGGUGAAAUCCCCGCCACCCCCAUACUACUACACAUCCCCACCACCACCAGUGAAAUCUCCACCACCUCCUUACUAUCCUCACCCUCAUCAUCACUCAUACACCGUGAAGGUAGUAGGAAAGGUUUACUGUUACAGAUGCUACGACUGGAAGUACCCAAUCAAGUCCCAUGCAAAGAUGCACCUAAAAGGUAACUUUUUUUCUAUUUUAUCAAUUAUUUAAUACACAUAAUUACCUCCUAGUUACAUUCUUCAGUCUUAAGUAUAUAUGUUUUUUCAGUUAUAUACACGCUCCUCUUUAAUAAUUUAGCUUUCUUACUGAUCAUUGCUUAUUAUAUUGUCCACGCACAUGCAUGCUAGCUAGCUCAUACUACACUCAUUUUCCUUUUCCUUGCUCUUUCUUAAUGUGGAAAUCCUAAUACCCUAGUGAGCUUAAUUAUUAUCACCAGAUCACUUCUAAAAUGUAAAGUUAAUCAUGCUUUUAUAAUGAACUAAUAUGCUUCAUUUAUUAUUAAUCACUUUGGUUUCUUUUUAUGUGACACUGUGAUUUACAUGCAUUCUAUAUAGUUCCGGCCACCUAGUACACUUUAAUGAGCUUGAUUAAUAUCAGAUCAUCUUCCUAUAAAAAGUUAAAUCAUGAUUUAUGAAUUAAUUAAUAUCCAUAACGACCAUAUGUCAUAACAGCUUUAUGUUGUAAAGCGAAAGAAAAGAAGGGCUGGACACCAUUAUAUAAUAGGACAGAUUCGAUCUGGCUAGCACCCACCCGAUCCACAUUGUUCAAUAAAAGACAUGCAUAUUUUUAUCUAUAAUCCACCAAUGAAAUUCUUGAUUUAUGCACCAAAAUUGGACGUAUAUAAUUUGUUCCCUUAUAUCUUUAUUUAGAUUAUAUCUUUAUAUAGAUUAGUGUAUAGUUUAAUAAUAUUAUUUCAAAUAUAUAUUUAAUAUUUUUCCCACCGGGUGUUACAUCUUUUACAUAUAAGCAUGUUAUAUAAUAAUAUAAUAUAAAGAUUUUUAACUUACUUUAAUUUUGGUAUAUGUCAAGCAUAUGCCAAUGAUGUUGCAUAUUAGAUUAAUUAGUAAAGAGAUAUGUCCUUUCAAAGAAUAAAUUAUAAUUAAAAUUGACAUGCUAGUCUUCUAUAUACUGUUAAGAUGUCUACAUACAGAGAAACUUCAUACCACACAUAGUCCAACGAUUGAUCUCUGAUUUGAAAAUAUAGAACGUGUAUUUAUUCUUAUUUGAAAAACGUGGCAACUAGAUCAGAGUUGGAAGCUAAGAUAAUAUAUAUUAGUACAAACAACUCACAAAGGAUAAGAGGACAAAAUGACUUAUUAUUAAAAAAAACUGAAUUAGGUAAAGACUGUAUUUAUUUAAGAUUUUGUCAAUAAAGUGGUUGUAAUAAUUCAACAUGUGGAAACAGGUGCUGUGGUUGAGGUGACAUGCAAGGCAGGAGACAAAGAUGUGGUGGCUUAUGGUAAGACAAAGAUCAAUGGUAAAUACAGCAUCACGGUUAAAGGAUUUGAGUACGGAAAGUAUGGUGGAGCCAAGGCAUGCAAAGCUAAGCUCCAUAUGGCGCCCAAGGAUUCUAAAUGUAAUAUUGCAACAAAUCUUCAUUGGGGCAUUAAGGGUGCUAAACUCAAAGUGAAAUCUAAGAGCAAAUAUGAAGUUGUUUUGUCUGCUAAGCCAUUUGCAUAUGCUCCCAAGACUCCUUACAAGAAGUGUUACAAGCCUGCACCAACACCAGCUCCGGUGACUCCGGUGACACCGCCUUAUUAUUAUAAGUCUCCACCACCGCCACCCAAGUCUCCCGCACCAACUCCUUAUUAUUACAAAUCUCCACCACCGCCAUCUAAAUCUCCGGCACCAACUCCUUACUACUACAAGUCUCCACCACCACCGCCUAAAUCUCCCACGCCAACACCUUACUACUACAAGUCUCCUCCCCCACCAACAAAAUCUCCGGUUCCAGCUCCUUAUUACUACAAAUCUCCCCCACCACCAACUAAGUCUCCCACUCCGGCUCCUUAUUACUACAAGUCCCCACCACCACCUUCACCAUCACCACCACCUCCAUACUACUACAAAUCACCACCACCACCUGUCAAGUCUCCCACUCCCGCUCCUUAUUACUACAAGUCCCCACCACCGCCGUCACCAUCUCCACCACCUCCAUACUACUACAAAUCACCACCACCACCCGUGAAAUCUCCAACUCCAACUCCUUACUACUACAAGUCUCCACCCCCACCGUCACCAUCUCCUCCCCCACCAUACUACUACAAAUCACCACCACCACCCGUGCAUUCACCUCCACCACCUUACUACUACAAAUCACCACCCCCGCCAGUGCACUCACCUCCACCACCCUACUACUACAAAUCACCACCACCUCCUUCGCCAUCUCCUCCACCACCAUAUUACUACAAGUCCCCACCUCCACCAAGUCCAUCCCCUCCACCUCCAUACCAUUACUCAUCACCUCCACCACCUGUGAAAUCCCCACCACCUCCAUAUCAUUAUUCCUCACCCCCACCACCUGUCAAAUCCCCGCCACCUCCAUAUCAUUAUUCGUCACCCCCACCACCAGUGAAAUCCCCGCCACCUCCAUAUCAUUAUUCGUCACCCCCACCACCAGUGAAAUCCCCGCCACCUCCAUAUCAUUAUUCGUCACCCCCACCACCAGUGAAAUCCCCGCCACCACCAUAUCAUUAUUCAUCACCACCACCCCCCGUCAAAUCCCCACCACCUCCUUACCAUUACUCUUCACCACCACCACCAGUAAAAUCUCCACCACCUCCAUAUCAUUAUUCAUCACCUCCACCACCAGUGAAAUCCCCACCACCUCCAUACCACUAUACGUCACCACCACCUCCAGUAAAAUCACCACCACCCCCAUAUCAUUAUUCAUCACCUCCACCACCCGUGAAGUCCCCACCACCACCAUACCACUAUUCUUCACCACCACCACCAGUAAAAUCCCCACCUCCUCCAUACCAUUACUCAUCACCUCCCCCACCUGUGAAAUCACCACCCCCUCCAUACCACUACUCUUCACCACCACCACCAGUCAAAUCCCCACCUCCUCCAUACCACUACUCUUCACCUCCACCACCGGUGAAAUCUCCACCUCCCCCAUACCACUACUCAUCUCCACCACCGCCAGUGAAAUCACCUCCACCACCGUACCACUACUCAUCUCCACCACCUCCCGUGAAAUCCCCACCUCCACCGUACCACUACUCAUCACCUCCACCACCCGUAAAAUCACCACCUCCUCCAUACCACUACUCAUCACCACCACCGCCAGUGAAGUCACCUCCUCCCCCAUACCACUACUCAUCACCACCACCACCAGAAAAAUCACCACCCCCACCAUACCACUACUCAUCUCCCCCACCCCCAGAGAAAUCUCCGCCCCCACCUUACCAUUACUCAUCCCCUCCACCACCCGUAAAAUCCCCACCUCCCCCAUACCACUACUCAUCCCCACCACCACCCGUGAAGUCUCCACCUCCCCCGUAUCACUAUUCCUCACCCCCACCGCCAGUGAAAUCACCUCCUCCCCCAUACGUCUAUUCAUCACCACCCCCACCUGUUGCAUCACCACCCCCACCAGUUUACAUUUAUGCUUCACCACCACCACCCACUCACUAUUAAGGUCCGACCGCUCAGCUAGUUCCAUCCAACAUUCAAGUAAGUUAACUCUUUUACUACAUGAACUACUAUUAGCUUGUUAUUCUCAUAAUAUUUCAAAUCUCACUAACAUGUUCAUAUUCAUAUACUAAUCCCUUCUUCUGUUAAUUUACAGCUGCCAGCUUAAAACAGCAUAGAAUACAACAAAAUAAAAUCCCAGAACCAGAUCAUCAAGUUAAUAAGGUCGUCAACCGUGCAUUACAAAGCUUUAACCUUUUUGACACGGACCAAUUUGCAUUUACAUCAUUAGUGACACUCUUACAUUUGGGAGUUGUUUCAACUACAAAGGGUAUUUUCUAUAGAGGUUUUCCUUAUCUGGUUAAGUGAAAUUAGUAAGUGAGAUGCCUGGCAGAAGUUUGUAUGGUGUGGAACAAGGCUUUCCUGUGUAUUCUUUGUUCAUUUCAAGAGUGUUUAUUUCAUGUAAUUUAUCUGUAACAAUAUUAAUCUUUCAUUUACUUCAAAUUUAGUAAUUGCUGUGCUUUCUUUAUUGGGUUAAUUAUCUAGUUGGUCACUGAAAUGGGUUUAAUGUAUCAAGUUGGUCA
rnacentral:lncRNA from 1 species